rnacentral:lncRNA from 1 species
AGUAUUAGAGUCCGUGUUAUUGCUGAUUACAAUCAUUUCAGUAUCAUUUUCCUAGGAAAUCUUUGAAUACUAAGCUGAUACCAGCUACUUUAUAAAAUAUUGUCUUCUAUAAAGUAUUCCAUGUCUGUUUUUGUGAGUUAUCUACGGCUAUGUAUUUAGUAUUUAAAGAAAGAUGCACUUCUGAUUUAUUUACCUGCUUCUAGCAUGCUAAUUUAAAAAUUUAAUUUUUACUCUCUUCCCCAGGAAUACUUUUUAAUACGACUUCUGCAGAGAUGGUGAUAAACAUAUGCUUUCUAAAGGAUUUUAACCUGAAUGGAAAAGACAAUAUGAGGGUGAUGAAAGACCCUAGACGGUCCGCCUUGGCAUCUGCUCAAUGAAGGCGAACCGCAGAAAUGUGAACUCCUCCUGCUUCUGCUAUUCGUAGGAAGAGGCAGACUUGAAACCCUGCAGUUGUCUGUGGCCUAAACAAUGAUCAACUUGCGAAAUACGGGUUUUUUUUUUUUAUUUGCCUAAGCAGAGAAACACUAAUGGUGCGUUCCUUCAAUUAAAGAGAAAAAAAUAGAUCUACCAAUACUACUGCAUUUGUUCAUUGAUAAAUUCAUUCAUUC